GCGAAUUAAGGGUAGUCGAUAUGCAGUCGUACGAGGUAGCCGUAUAUUAGAUUGGUUAGAGGAGGGAGGGUGAAAAGGGAGGGGACCUGGAGGGGGAGGGGAAUAGCCUUCCAAAAGGAAAAUUAAUACCGCAGAUUAUGUUUUGUGCUCGUGACUUCAACAUCUGAGGAUGUGAUUUUCCACUUUGGGAUUGACCCGGGAUGCAUUAGCUUUUUGGUGAGGGAGCGGCCCAGGAAGGCAAGGAUGCCCAACCUACCUGGAAGGGUGAUCGGGCUCGUUGGGAUUGAAACUCAGACCCGACUCCUACUGCUGGCAGCAGUGGGGAAGAUUAAUCAUGGGCAGAGACCCUGACCCUGCAACCCCGAGUGAACGAGGAAGGUCAUCGCCUUCGAAAUAUAUUCUUACAGCAUACGGUAAAGACAUGAAUACAG
rnacentral:rRNA from 1 species